CUGAGUAGCCAGUUAGCGAGAGAGGAAGGGAGGAAGGGAGUGGCGAUUGUCCUGAUGCCCCAGCUCCGAUUGUCCUGCCUGGCUGCCUCCCGAAGCCCCCAAAAGAUCCAUCCACAGCCAGUACUGUUGCCACAGCAAGUUUCUUCAGGUCCCUCGGCAUUCGUGGGGUUGUUCGCAGCGUCGGGCUUGGUCAACGAAUUGACGGAGUCUUCCGGGGUGAUGCACCUGCUGUAGAAGUUGGCGUUCAAGGACACGGGGCACCGGAGCCACUUGCAGAUCGUGCGGGAGGUGGAGGUCACGGGGGGCAACAUCGGUGCCUCCGCGUCCAGAUAGCAGUUGGUGCACAGCUACGACAUGCUCUCCAGGCAUACAUACCGCAGGCCGUGCGUCAAACAUGCUUCUUUGAUGAUAAGUAACAGACUUCUUCCUCCAAUGGCUGAACCAAGCUUUGUGAUUUACUCCUCUAAUUCUCUUUUGACAUGCUGAUUAAUUCCUCGCAAUUUUCUAGAGUAAAUCCAUUCCCCUGUCACCUAUAAUGUAAUUUCACAUGUUUUACUUGCAUGAACCAAACAUAUAUGUGUGCUGACUACAUGCCCCUGCAGGUGUGUUGAUUCUCAUGUCAAGUUUAGUAAUUGUAGUUAUAUUUCUGCUGGAGCAGGGAACAAUUAUCAAGUUCAUUUACAUCUACAGACUGCAGUUGCUUGUUCAUAACUAUGUUUUCCUCCUGCUGCGUCAUUCAGAUCUAUGUUUGUUUUCCUCCUGCUGUGCACUAACCUAGAAACCUGUAACCAUGUCUGUAGCCUAAAUUAGUAGUAUCCCUGAGUGAAGGUAACGUUUCUAGCAAGAGAAUUGAUAAUGCUGGCAGUGUCGUGAUAUUUCAUAGCAUUGUCAAUGUCAGGCAUGUCAAAAUUUUGCUCUCUUUUUACUUAGCCAACUUAUUUUACUACAUGGGGUGUUUUGGAGUUUUGUUUCUACGACAGAUUAUGUUGAGUUUUGUUCUGGAGUGUUUGUACUGAUGCAUAAAACUACCUGCAUCUAAAAUGGCAUGGUAUUAGUAUUUUUAUUUUUAAAAGUAUGCCACCUGCCUUAAGCUUUCAGUAAAUCAAAGUUAUGUCUUGAUGUUAUCGACACUUGAAUAUACAUUAUGAUUUAAUGCACGUUCAACAAAUAGUUAUGUCCUGAUGUCUAUUCUAUGUGAAGUUUUGAUUUCAGCUUGAUAUAUUAAUAAUAAUAUUACCAUGUUUCUUGUAAAUGUCUAUUUGCAAACAUUGCAGAUAAAUUGGUGCUUGUAUAUUAUAGAAGUAAGACACUUGAAAAUAGAUUCAACAUAGUUCCUGCACUACCAACUUUUCAUGGUUGACUUCACGUCAGAAAACAAUUAUUCAUCAUGGGCAAUCAUGGUUGUUCCCGACUCAGCAAGAAGAUGAUCGAGGGUUGGCGGCACGGCUGCUUCGUUGUCAUCUUCGACGAGCACCGUCCGACACGAUUUUCCGCUGACAUGUACCAUGGAAUGUCACUGCUUUUAUCAUGGCAUCCAACACUUGCAGAUGUGACUCAAAAUGGGAUUCUGAAGGUAAUGAACUUGGAUAGCCUGAUAGUGUACCAUACCAACAACCAUCUCCAAGGACAUGAACUUGAAAAGUUUCUAAGAUUCAUACACACCUUCAGAAUCAGAUACCUGCUUUGUUCUAUAGAAUUCCUAUGGAUUUUAAGAGGAUGAGCCACCCCGUUUGAUUAUGGUUCUUUCCUACACUCACAGCUAAAACUUGACAAUUUGAACCCUUGAUUGAUGCAAGAGAUUGAAGAUACAACUCAUGGAAUCUGAAAAAUUAGAAAAAAUGGUCAAAAGUCAUUUUUAUUUGAAAAGUGGACGUCGACUUAUUUAUUUGACUGGCUCCGAACGUCCAAGUUAUCUGCUUUAUUCUACUAUGGACUUUAUUGCCGCAUUAUCAUUUUUUAUUUGCGAGAUGCUGCAUUAUCGUUUAUGUUCUUGCAUAUUCUGUUGGCCCUUAAUACUGCCACUGACGACCAAGUGCUGCAUAUUUAUUUCUCUUUAUAGGAAAAUGUAACUCAUAAGCUAUGAUGAACAUUUCUUUUCAGUAUUUACAUUGGCAUUAUUUUGUCACUGGUCAAUUUUAUUGUCACAUAUAAUGAUGUUUAUGAAUCUGUUCAUGUAUUUUCGAGAUUUAGAUGAGUAUAUAUACUGCCAACCCUUGGUUGUCCUUUCAGACUAGGCCUACCAGGCUACCACGAGGUCACCUCAGUUGAUUUCAGACUAGCUGAGCUCCUGGAUAGCUUUGCAAUUUGAUGCUCGGUAAUGCCUUGUGUACUAUACUUUUACCCUGAUGGUUGUACGACUCAACAUGGCUAGCAGAUUCACUUGAUUCUUUACUUGAUCUUUCAUCUACUGGGAUAACCAUGGCCUAUGGGCAUGGAUGCUUGUGUUGUUGGUAUUGUAGAAAUAUCAGACGACAUAAUGUCGCAUAUAUAUCACUGCUCUUUGUAUGGAUGUGGUGGCAUGUGAGAGGACAAGCAGGCAUUGGGCCAUUUACGAAUUGCCAGAACAUUGAGGGUGUGUAACAUGAAAUUGUUUCUACAUGAGCUUGUGCUAAAGGUCUGGUCCUAUUGCAUUCGUAGUUGGAGUUUAACGACUGUAGCCUAAUUUAUCUUCAUUGUUAUUUGGCCUUUUUUGGGAGAUUCAACAAAUUUCUUCCAAAUUAUCACAAAUGGGGAAGUUUGUCUGAACCAUUAUGUAAAAAGAUUGGAAUGAUUGUCAUAUUAAAGUCAGGCGUAGUUGCAUGAACAAGUGAGCAGUAUAUUACAGAGGCUUGCAGCACGUGGCUCUUUUUUAUGCAAGUUUUCUCGGAACAUUUGAAGAAUACAUCCAUCAGCUAGCUUAAGCUUGCCAGGCUUGCUACCUAUGUGUGUUGGCCACGACGGUGGGCGGGCCACGGCAUGCCUUUGCCCCAACGAAGCUCCGCCACUGCGCUCCUUUAUAGGUCUCUUGUUGCAAAACCUGUGGACGGCAUAUUCAUUUCAAGGGGUUAUGGACAUGGAACAUUCCAAAGCCUAAACAAUUCCUUCAAGCUUAGGGGUUGCAUAAGCGAACGAGCGGGAAGUAAGGUGGAGAGUAAAGCUAUAGAAAGUAGGGCGGACAACAAGACUCGACUCACCAUCGUCUGAUUUAGGCGCUGCAGACACAGGUAAUGAAGGGUGACACAGGGAGGGGCAGAGAGGCACUUGCGAUGGACGUACGUGUCCAGAUUCUCCCUCGUCUCCAUAGACAUGGAAGAGAUUGCCGAGGUGUGCUCCUGCGGGGGCAUGCUAUCAUGGGGUUUGCGCUUGGACAUGCAAGAUGUGAUUUCUACUGUUAGAUAUAUAUGGCCAUGGCUUGUGGUGUACUGUGUGAGGAGCCCAUGGAGCAACGUCGUUCAAGGAGUAACCAUGAUUACCAUUCCAUACCAAGCAUGUGGUACAUUUAAAUUUGUAUGUCGCAAGUCACCGU